rnacentral:rRNA from 1 species
GACGUUAGCGGCGGACGGGUGAGUAACACGUGGGCAACCUGCCUGUAAGACUGGGAUAACUUCGGGAAACCGAAGCUAAUACCGGAUAGGAUCUUCUCCUUCAUGGGAGAUGAUUGAAAGAUGGUUUCGGCUAUCACUUACAGAUGGGCCCGCGGUGCAUUAGCUAGUUGGUGAGGUAACGGCUCACCAAGGCAACGAUGCAUAGCCGACCUGAGAGGGUGAUCGGCCACACUGGGACUGAGACACGGCCCAGACUCCUACGGGAGGCAGCAGUAGGGAAUCUUCCGCAAUGGACGAAAGUCUGACGGAGCAACGCCGCGUGAGUGAUGAAGGCUUUCGGGUCGUAAAACUCUGUUGUUAGGGAAGAACAAGUACAAGAGUAACUGCUUGUACCUUGACGGUACCUAACCAGAAAGCCACGGCUAACUACGUGCCAGCAGCCGCGGUAAUACGUAGGUGGCAAGCGUUAUCCGGAAUUAUUGGGCGUAAAGCGCGCGCAGGCGGUUUCUUAAGUCUGAUGUGAAAGCCCACGGCUCAACCGUGGAGGGUCAUUGGAAACUGGGGAACUUGAGUGCAGAAGAGAAAAGCGGAAUUCCACGUG